AAAGAAGAAGAAAUUGAAGGCGCUCUGGCUGACAGCUGCCUUCCUGCCGCAGGCAAGAGAGAGCCUGUCCCUGCAGGUGAGGGAGGAAGGAUCCCCCUUCGUAGCCCGCAGCGGGCCAGGCCACCAACGUGCACCGCAGGGUCUGUACGCGUAACCGGGAGUUGGGUACGGGCGUGUAGUGCACGAGCGAGCUAGGCCACGUGCCUAGGAAGCCUCAUCUUGUAAGAGCUGUAAGACACCCAUGUAUCCUCUUUAGGUGGAGGAUGGCCUAGAGUCUGGAGCUGCAGAAGAGGCAGGGAGGAGAGAAGGGGAAACAAGCAUCUGAACGGCUAAAUUGUGCCAGCAGCGCUGAGAGCGAGAGUCACGGUGGAGGAUGGCCUAGAGUCUGGAGCUGCAGAAGAGGCAGGGAGGAGAGAAGGGGAAACAAGCAUCUGAACGGCUAAAUUGUGCCAGCAGCGCUGAGAGCGAGAGUCACGCCCGUCGCUCCAGGAGCCAGGCGACGGACGGUCCCUUCCCUGCCAAACCAGGACAAGCGUGUGCCGUGGUUUAGCCCCAGCUGGCAACUCUGCACCAGGGAGUU